rnacentral:rRNA from 1 species
GACGAACGCUGGCGGCGUGCUUAACACAUGCAAGUCGAACGGAAAGGCCCUGCUUUUGUGGGGUGCUCGAGUGGCGAACGGGUGAGUAACACGUGAGUAACCUGCCUUUGACUUUGGGAUAACUUCAGGAAACUGGGGCUAAUACCGGAUAGGAGCUCCUGCUGCAUGGUGGGGGUUGGAAAGUUUCGGCGGUUGGGGAUGGACUCGCGGCUUAUCAGCUUGUUGGUGGGGUAGUGGCUUACCAAGGCUUUGACGGGUAGCCGGCCUGAGAGGGUGACCGGCCACAUUGGGACUAAGAUACGGCCCAGACUCCUACGGGAGGCAGCAGUGGGGAGUAUUGCACAAUGGGCGGAAGCCUGAUGCAGCAACGCCGCGUGCGGGAUGACGGCCUUCGGGUUGUAAACCGCUUUCGCCUGUGACGAAGCGUGGGUGACGGUAAUGGGUAAAGAAGCACCGGCUAACUACGUG